ACCAGAGCAGCAUGUAACCUUUAAAGAAGCAAAGAGGAUCUGUUUGGCAAGUCUCAGAGUUAAUUAAAUAAAGAUUAUUGUAAAGCUCUUGGACAAUGGAGAUUCAUGUUUCACUUCUCAGAAAUGAAGUCAGUAAGAAUAUGGAAAACAGAAAGUGGUGUGGUCUAAAAUGAUCUAAAAAGAUAGGGGAAAGAAAUACAAAGGAAUUCAGGGUGUGGGGGGAAGACCCAUGGACACACUUGAACAGCUCAAUCACUAGUGUCAGCUACAUGGUAUCACCUAGCACAGCAUUCAGAUGAACAGAAUAAACACUUUAUGGUCUCGGAUCUAGAAUCUACACCGUGUACCUACAGCCCUAUUUGGAGCCCAUCAAGAAAAGUUACAGGUACAGAAGGCAACUUACUCGAGAGCGAACGAGAGGACGCAGUCAGGAGCGAACAGGAAAGAGCGCAGGAAAAAAAA